ensembl:lncRNA
CCUGAAACACUUCUUCAGAGGACGAACGUAGAGGUAUUCGAAGCAGGAAGUUUAGGAAGUAGCUGAAAGAGCCAUGAAUGCUAUUAAACAAGAACAUCCCUCUUUAUAGGCCUAAACACGUUAGUUUGCUAUUUUUAUGGUGGAUAAAAAAAAAUGCCAGUUGAUAAACAUAAAAGACGGAUGCUCUUUUCCAGGAAAUAAACUACUUCUAAUACUUAUAAAUCCCCCUUUCAUUGAGCCUUGAUGCCUGGAAUUCUUACACUCGCCUGAAUGACGUUCUUCCACCGGAGAAAACGGGAGGGCGGUUCCACCAGGAGACUUGUGAUUCGAAGACCACGUGUGCCCUCAUCGGCUCCAGUCCCCUCUCACCUCAUUCGGUUUUCGGGCCGCGGACCUCAGAGAUGCUCCAACGGAUUCCAGCAAAGACCGCGGCGGCGGCCUAAUGCCAUGUGACAAUGUGCUGGGCUAUUUCGCCCGCUUUCGGGGGCCAGCGGGAGUGACAUAUUUCUAAUUGUACGUAAUGAUGAGGAGAGAGGGAGGCUUGAGAUGACAAUGGGCCCCACUUCACCUUCGUUAUGAAGGCCAGCGUUCACCUUUGAGCUCCUGGUCUACGAGCAGUUGCGGCUGCUGGUGUGCGGUCUCUAUUAGGAGAACAAUCGUGGCUUUGACCUAUUUGUUGUUCAGCCGCACAUAAAUCAAACGCUUCCCCCUUUUUCUUCCCCAUUUUUCUUUUAUCUGAGUUGACUUGGUUUUGACCGUUAACCCUUCGGGGCGACUGAGGCUCAGUGGAAGAGCGGUUCCACGCGUCCAUCAGAGCCACCUGAAUCAUGUUGGAUGAUGUAUGUCAAACAAUCGGGAGAAAGUCAUGGGAAAGUUUACCACCAAACAUUUAACAUUACAGUGUCCGGUAGUUUAAUUACUGUGGGAUUAGACGCAUUUAACAGCUCAUAGGCGUCUUAAUCGGGGGACGGACUUAGGGGCCCCGUGGGCCCCCCCCCCGGGGGGUGCAGCCUUUGCGGGCCCAGCAAAGAAAGGAAAGGAGUGUGUCAGCGAUUUAGCAGAGAGUUACAGCCACGUCUGGCCUCUUGCCUGCUGCCCGGUCAACUGGGUUUGUUCCGGCGCAGUGGGCAGAGUGACGGGCCCAGUUACAGUGAAUCAAGACCUUGUUGGACCAAGGUGAGUUUGCAAAGAAAGAUGAGGCGAGAUGGAGGGAAUAACAACGGGCGUUUAGUCCCCCUGGCCGCCUCUGAGGCAGCCGGUUUAUUCUGGUUGUUGUCUUCUGGUUUGGGCUCGUUCGUGUGUUCUGGUUGGUCCGGAGCUGGCAGAGAGCACAGAGCAGCUUUUUAUCGUCCAGAACGGUGGCCUCUUGGUUAUGUUUGAUAUCAAAUUUAAUAUCCAGCUGCAUAAAUAAAUGACAGCUGAUUUGAGAGUUUUCACUUUUUUAGAGAUUAUCUUUUUGGAGAUUGUUGUCAUGUAUUCUUUUUAUUUUAAUUUAGAUUUUUUACAUUCUCUAAUUAUCUGCUGACUU